GGAUAUGUUGACAAAAUAUUCACCUUGCAAAAUAUCAUCGAGCAAUGCAUAGAGUGGCAAAGAUGGAUUUACAUCAACUGUGUGGACAUCAAGGCUUUUGACAGCAUCCACAGGGACAAUGGCUUAUACUCCAAACACAGAGGAUUCCACAACAGACAGUAUUUUGUCUCAGUAUCUAUGCAUAACAAGUAAGCUUGAAGAUCAGCAAGAAUAAAACCAAGGAGAUGACAGUGAAUACCCAGAAGGAAUGGACCUUCCUACAACAAAGGAGUAGUAGUCAUUCAUAUCUCUAUGUUAGUCUGUGCUGAGACUGAUCUAAAUAGCAGCCACUUUUAUCAUGGUAUGGCUCUAUAGGGUUCCUAUGGAGUUAGCUACUGAAGCAGUGCCUGAAUAGGGAACAAAAUGCUGCAUAGCUGGCUAUGCUUUGUUUUUGCUUUCCUCCUUCAUUGAAAUCUGAGUGAUCAUCCAAUAAAUUGGUGGGUUUUUUUUUUUUUCAUUUAAAUAAUUCAACACAUUUCUUAAAGAGGUUCUUCUUCUAUAUGCAGUGUACAUUAGUUAGCAGCACACGCUGUUGUAAAUCCUGCCCACUUGUUUGCAUUGUCACACAUGCUUCAGUGCUCUGAGAGUGUUUAUAGUGCUGUGAGUUUAACACUUCAUGACUGAGAGCAGAACAGAACACAAUCUUCAUCAUCACACAAGACAAAAGAACAACAAUGAACACAAUCACCUUCUUCAUCUGGACACUUUCACUGUUUAUUCAAGAGUGUAGAGGACAAUACGCUAUAACUCAGAUUCCAUCAAUAACAGCAGCUCAACCAGGACAAGAAGUCAGAAUAAACUGUAAAACCAGCAGUGCAGUGCAUAAUGGUGUUUAUUUAGCCUGGUACUUACAGAAACCUGGAGAAGCUCCUAAACUCCUCAUAUAUGCAGCUACAAGCCAUUAUCCUGGAACUCCAUCUAGAUUCAGUGGCAGUGGAUCUGGCAGUGAUUUCACUCUGACCAUCAGUGGAGUCCAGACUGAAGAUACAGGAGAUUAUUACUGUCAGAGUUUGCACUAUCCAAACAGUCAAUAUGUGUUCACACAGUGAUAAAGAGUAGUACAAAAACCUCGGUCAGUCAGACGUCACAGUGAUGCACUGAUACAGCUGAGAGAUACUGCAGCUGCUCAUACAACACAA